GUGGGGAAUUUUCCGCAAUGGGCGAGAGCCUGACGGAGCAAUGCCGCGUGGAGGUGGAAGGCCUACGGGUCGUCAACUUCUUUUCUCGGAGAAGAAACAAUGACGGUAUCUGAGGAAUAAGCAUCGGCUAACUCUGUGCCAG
rnacentral:rRNA from 1 species